CCUACGGGAUGCUGCAGUGAGGAAUAUUGGUCAAUGGGCGCGAGCCUGAACCAGCCAAGUCGCGUGAGGGAAGACGGUCCUAUGGAUUGUAAACCUCUUUUGUCGGGGAGCAAAAGACGCCACGCGUGGCGGUCCGAGAGUACCCGAAGAAAAAGCAUCGGCUAACUCCGUGCCAGCAGCCGCGGUCCUACGGAGGAGGCGAGCGUUAUCCGGAUUUAUUGGGUUAAAAGGGUGCGCAGGCGGAAGAUCAAGUCAGCGGUAAAAUUGAGAGGCUCAACCUCUUCGAGCCGUUGAAACUGGUUUUCUUGAGUGAGCGAGAAGUAUGCGGAAUGCGUGGUGUAGCGGUGAAAUGCAUAGAUAUCACGCAGAACUCCGAUUGCGAAGGCAGCAUACCGGCGCUCAACUGACGCUCAUGCACGAAAGUGUGGGUAUCGAACAGGAUUAGAUACCCCAGUAGUC
rnacentral:rRNA from 1 species